rnacentral:rRNA from 1 species
AGCAAGCGCACGAAGGCGUACACGGCGACCGACGACAAGCUUCUUUGCGAGUGUUGGCGAGACAUUGGACAAGACCCCAAGACGGGCGCCGAGCAAAAGCAUUCAACCUUUUGGAUUCGUGUCCACCGAGAGGUUCAUGAGCGCAAGAAGUUUCCACCUUACCAAUUUGUGAGCACGCGCGGGUGGGUCUCCAUUUCCAAGCGGUGGAGGGUGAUCCAACAUGAGUGCAACAAGUUUUGCGCCACUCUUGAGAGCAUCAAGGCCCGCCCUGUUAGCGGCAUCGGCAUGCAAGACAUGGUAUGCUAG